AUUUCAGUCACCUAAAGCGAUCCAGAAUUACAGCACGGUUUCUUUGGCUCAAAGAAGACGACUGAAAGCUGCCUCACCAAGACACUAGACAUCGGAUCAUCUGUAUCCGUAAUCGCAGACGCAUGGCAUCUGUUCAGAUGUUGACCAUGAAGAGGUUGUGGCGGAACAGAUGGUGAGAUCCACUAAUAACUGGAGACAUGGGAGAAGAGUUGUUGAAUUAAGGGUGUUGGCAUAUGCUCUAAAGGCCCGUCUAAACUGGGACAUGCCAUUUCAGUUCACUCAUGCUGUAGAUAUCCAGACUUAUGGACUGUCGACUAUCAUUAAGGUUUUGAAUAUGAUGUCUCCAGUAUGGAUAUGUUUGACGAUUGUUACCAUGAAAAUGAACUCACGGACCAACAUGUAUGUCAAAACAGUUGGGGUAUUUUUUUUGGUAAAAUAAGUAUAAUGGUACCCAUUUCACUCAAUUUUAGAAUUUUUUAAUUAUUCUGAUGUCAGUCAUACGCUACCAUUUUUUUUUACAGGUUUUUGAACAUGAUGUCUCCAGCAAGGAUAUGUUUGAUGAUGGUUACCAUGGAAACGAACUCACGGACCUCUAUCAAAAAUAUCUUUUUCUGAUAAAAUAAAUAUAAUGCUAUCCAUUUCAAUUUUAUUUUUUAAUUAUUCUGAUGUCAGUCAUACACUUCCGGAUUCUCUACAGGUUUUGAAUAUGAUGUCUC